ensembl:lncRNA
AUGGCCUUUUGCGGUUCCUUUCUUCCCCCUCCACAAAGGCUGUGCUUUCUCUUCUCUCCGGGGAAAGAGAAGCUAGCCCCGUCUCCUCCGACGGCAGUGGUCCUCCUGUCGCGUUGGGAGCCGUUCGGAGGCUUCCCGUCAGUGGCAAGAGAAUAUCGUGACCCACUUUUCAAAAGGAUGGUAAAUAUCACUGAAGACAAAAUUUAUGCAAGAAAGGGCCUGAAGAGCAGAUGUCGAUCUGAAUUCCUGAAAACCACAUGCCGUUGGACUCAUUCCACAGUACCUGUGCAGUGUGUUAAUCUUUGAGGUUUAAAAGUCCGUACAGCGAGAUUCACGUUUAACUCCCUAAUGGAAUUUCUAGGACUCAUGUGCGUUUAUGCUAGAGAACGUCGAGUCCAGGGUUCACCACCAGAGCGCUUUUUCUCCUGUUCUGCAUUUUGAGAUUUAGGAUGCCUAAUGAAAGGUAUGGUCAAGAAAAAAAAAAAAAUGAAUCAUCCGGGCAGAGAGGUGACAUAUCCGCUCCUGCCCGGCUCUUUAGUCUUUCUUUGAAGGAGUCAUUUCAAGCAGUAUAUGCAGCACUGCAUUUCUGAGCGAGAGCUAAUUAUGGGCCGUGAGCGGACAAGUUUAGACACUGGCCCUGACUUGGAGAACACAUUCCCAAGGCAUAACUAUUGGAUUUGAUUUGGGAGAAAAGAAGGUACGAGAUACAAUGCAGCACUUUGUAAUCAUUUAUUAGUCUUGGAAAGGGCCCUGAAGGUACUUGAAUUAUAAUAGAAAACAGCGGUUAUAAAUCAGACCUCGAGUGCAAGGACCAUUCAGUGCAGCAGAGACAUUUGCUCGGCAGCUGCCGUUCUCUGGCCCUCACCUGGGUUUGUGAGCGGACGGGGACUGAGCUGACAUCAAGAGGCACCUGGUUUUCUUUUCUCUCGCUCUCUUUUUAGCGCUAAAGCCGCACCAGCCGCUUGCUUUCCUCCUGGCAAAGCCUGGAUUGUUGAAGGGACGUGGACAGUGUUUUCUUAAGAGCAGGGUUUUGAGUGCUUCUGACCACCUGGCUGAUGGACGCUUUCGUGGCAGACCAGGUCUAGACACAGUGUCCUUUCACGUAGCUAUUGGAGCCAAGUAAACAUCCUCGCCCCUUCUCCCCUCCACUCUCCCCCGCCUCCGGCUUCGCACUCUGCUCACCUCUUUCCAGAAGCCUCUGGUCUCAUCCUCUCACGACCUCCACCUCCUCCACUUCUUUCUUCUGCGUCUCCACCUUCACCCAGUUCACUUCCCUUUCUUCUUUUGUUGUUUCAGUUCUUGCUCUUCCCUCACCUCUGCAGCACCAGCGAAGAUGGAAUAUGGGCUUGGAUUUUGGGAACCUCACUGGGAGCUGUGGGGGAGGUGGCAGCAGAAGGCACUUCACCCCAGUAGCUCAUGGAAGGUUAAUGUUGAUACCCUCCCAGCCCAGGGCUCCCUGUUGCUGAAACCAGCAGUUUUUUUUUGCCCAGAGUUGCUUGGGCCAAACCAGACAUUAUUUCCCAUCCUGCAGAUGAGCAGGAGGGCAUAGAGACUUUUUGAAUUGAUUUUGAACCUCUUCCAAGCCUUUCAGAAAUGGUUGGGGUUUUCACAAUUGCCUUCACACAGGUGUUUGAGCACAAAGGUAAAACUUUCUUUAGCAAUAAAGAGUAAGAACAUCAGUACCUUCA